GACGAACGCUGGCGGCGUGCUUAACACAUGCAAGUCGAACGGAAAGGCCCUGCUUUUGUGGGGUGCUCGAGUGGCGAACGGGUGAGUAACACGUGAGUAACCUGCCCUUGACUUUGGGAUAACUUCAGGAAACUGGGGCUAAUACCGGAUAGGAGCUCCUGCUGCAUGGUGGGGGUUGGAAAGUUUCGGCGGUUGGGGAUGGACUCGCGGCUUAUCAGCUUGUUGGUGGGGUAGUGGCUUACCAAGGCUUUGACGGGUAGCCGGCCUGAGAGGGUGACCGGCCACAUUGGGACUGAGAUACGGCCCAGACUCCUACGGGAGGCAGCAGUGGGGAAUAUUGCACAAUGGGCGGAAGACUGAUGCAGCAACGCCGCGUGCGGGAUGACGGCCUUCGGGUUGUAAACCGCUUUCGCCUGUGACGAAGCGUGAGUGACGGUGAUGGGUAAAGAAGCACCGGCUAACUACGUG
rnacentral:rRNA from 1 species